UCCCUGGUAGUAUAUCGGUUUAGUACACGCGCCUGUCAUAACAUAAAUCCGCGCGAAAGCUGGGUUCGACUCCCAGCCAGGGAG
rnacentral:tRNA from 1 species